rnacentral:rRNA from 1 species
CCUACGGGAGGCAGCAGUGGGGAAUCUUGCACAAUGGAGGAAACUCUGAUGCAGCGAUGCCGCGUGAGUGAAGAAGGCCUUUGGGUUGUAAAGCUCUUUUGUAGGGGAAGAUAAUGACUGUACCCUAAGAAUAAGGUCCGGCUAACUUCGUGCCAGCAGCCGCGGUAAUACGAAGGGACCUAGCGUAGUUCGGAAUUACUGGGCGUAAAGCGCGCGUAGGCCGUUGAGUUAGUUAAUUGUGAAAUCCCAAAGCUUAACUUUGGAACUGCAAUUAAAACUGCUCGACUAGAGUUUGAUAGAGGAAAGCGGAAUACAUAGUGUAGAGGUGAAAUUCGUAGAUAUUAUGUAGAACACCAGUUGCGAAGGCGGCUUUCUGGAUCAACACUGACGCUGAGGCGCGAAAGUAUGGGUAGCAAAGAGGAUUAGAUACCCUCGUAGUCCAUACCAUAAACGAUGAUUGCUAGAUGUUGGAAAUUUAUUUUCAGUAUCGCAGCUAACGCAUUAAGCAAUCCGCCUGGGGAUACGACCGCAAGGUUAAAACUCAAAGGAAUUGACGGCNGAGAGUGCGACGACGACACGAGGAGAG